rnacentral:rRNA from 1 species
UACGGAGGGGGCUAGCGUUGUUCGGAAUUACUGGGCGUAAAGCGCGCGCAGGCGGCCUCGCGCGCCCGACGUGAAAGCCCCCGGCUUAACCGGGGAGGGUCGUUGGGGACGGCGGGGCUUGAGGGCGGGAGAGGUCGGUGGAAUUCCCGGUGUAGUGGUGAAAUGCGUAGAGAUCGGGAGGAACACCUGUGGCGAAGGCGGCCGACUGGGCCGACCCUGACGCUGAGGCGCGAAGGCGUGGGGAGCGAACAGG